CACGGGUACAUGUAGGGCACAGGGGACAUGUUGAUCUCAGACGACACGUGGGGCACAGAAGACAAGGGUACAUGUAGGGCACAGAAGACACGGGUACAUGUAGAGCACAGGUGACAUGUUGAUCUCAGAGCACGUGGGGCACAGAGUGAAUGUGGGGCACAGGGGACAUGUUGAUCUCAGAGCACGUGGGGCACAGAAGACAUGGGGACAUAUUGGGCUCAGAGAGCAUGUGGGGCACAGAAGACAUGUUAGGCACAGAGGACAUGGUCUGGAAACAAAACAGUUGGAACAGUUCGCGUAAACGCACCAUGCUUCGCAGCAAACCCAAGAGCAUGACUUUUCACAUG